rnacentral:rRNA from 1 species
AUAUCAAUAAGCGGAGGAAAAGAAACUAACAAGGAUUCCCCUAGUAACUGCGAGUGAAGCGGGAUGAGCUCAAAUUUAAAAUCUGGCGGCUUCAGUCGUCCGAGUUGUAGUCUGGAGAAGUGCUUUCCGCGCUGGACCGUGUACAAGUCUCUUGGAACAGAGCGUCAUAGAGGGUGAGAAUCCCGUCUUUGACACGGACUACCAGUGCUUUGUGAUGCGCUCUCAAAGAGUCGAGUUGUUUGGGAAUGCAGCUCAAAAUGGGUGGUAAAUUCCAUCUAAAGCUAAAUAUUGGCGAGAGACCGAUAGCGAACAAGUACCGUGAGGGAAAGAUGAAAAGCACUUUGGAAAGAGAGUUAAACAGUACGUGAAAUUGCUGAAAGGGAAACGCUUGAAGUCAGUCGCGUCGUCCGGAACUCAGCCUUGCUUUUGCUUGGUGCACUUUCCGGUUGACGGGCCAACAUCAAUUUCGACCGUCGGAAAAGGGCUGGAGGAAUGUGGCACCUUUUGGUGUGUUAUAGCCUCUGGUCGCAUACGUCGGUUGGGAUUGAGGAUCGCAGCGCGCCGCAAGGCAGGGGUUCGCCCACUUUCGCGCUUAGGAUGUUGGCAUAAUGGCUUUAAACGACCCGUCUUGAAACACGGACCAAGGAGUCUAACUUGCAUGCGAGUGUUUGGGUGUAAAACCCGAGCGCGUAAUGAAAGUGAAAGUUGGGAUCCCUGUCGUGGGGAGCACCGACGCCCGGACCAGACGUUCUCUGACGGCUCCGCGGUAGAGCAUGUAGGUUGGGACCCGAAAGAUGGUGAACUAUGCCUGAAUAGGGUGAAGCCAGAGGAAACUCUGGUGGAGGCUCGUAGCGAUUCUGACGUGCAAAUCGAUCGUCAAAUUUGGGUAUAGGGGCGAAAGACUAAUCGAACCAUCUAGUAGCUGGUCCUGCA